AUACGUAGGGGGCGAGCGUUGUCCGGAAUGACUGGGCGUAAAGGGUGCGUAGGCGGCCUGAAGGGUCCUGGGUGAAAGGUCCCGGCUUAACCGGGGAGGGUCCCAGGAAACCGGCGGGCUAGAGGGCUGGAGAGGGUCGCGGAAUUCCCGGUGUAGCGGUGGAAUGCGUAGAUAUCGGGAAGAACACCCGUGGCGAAGGCGGCGGCCUGGACAGUACCUGACGCUGAGGCACGAAAGCUGGGGGAGCGAACAGGAUUAGAUACCCUGGUAGUCCCAGCCGUAAACGAUGAGUGCUAGGUGUGGUGGGGGAGAUCCCUGCCGUGCCGCAGGUAACCCAAUAAGCACUCCGCCUGGGGAGUACGGCCGCAAGGCUGAA
rnacentral:rRNA from 1 species